GUCCGCCUCCGCCUACGCGCCCGACGCCAACGCGUCGAACCACGACGGCGAAAAUGGAGGAGAGAGAAACGACGAGCUCGACGGCGCCGGCGACGGCGACGAAGCAGAAGACGGAGACGAAGAAGCAGAAGCACGCGCGCGCUCGGGGUUCUGGACAUGGCUCGUCGCGUCGGUCGCGUUCCGGCUCGCCCUCGUCUACCUCCCCAGGAACCUCCGCCUGUCCACCCGCCCCGAGGUCGCCACCCCUCUCACCAGCAUUCGCCGCCUUGGCAAAGGCUACUGGUUGAAGCAGUAGGCGAUGUGUCUCCCUACGCAGGUUCGGCUCCCUUCGAUCUCUGUAGGAAGGAAGCUGCUUGUUUGCUUACUGGUGUGUCGCUGUUCCAUGCUUUGAUCCCUUCCACAGGUUCCAUGUAUCACGAAAUCUCGUUAACCUAAAGGAAUUACUGUACUCACAUGUAUUUCUUUUUGUAAAGGAUGCUGAUUAUCUUCCUAAAGGAAAUUCUUCAUUGAAUUUUGUUAA